UACGUAGGGUGCGAGCGUUGUCCGGAAUUAUUGGGCGUAAAGAGCUCGUAGGCGGUUUGUCGCGUCUGCUGUGAAAACCUAAGGCUCAACCUUGGGCUUGCAGUGGGUACGGGCAGACUAGAGUGCGGUAGGGGUGACUGGAAUUCCUGGUGUAGCGGUGGAAUGCGCAGAUAUCAGGAGGAACACCGAUGGCGAAGGCAGGUCACUGGGCCGCAACUGACGCUGAG
rnacentral:rRNA from 1 species